CAUCUUCUUCCUAUAUAAACCCUACUAUAAGUCUCCAGUAACCCAUCAGCCACUGCGGAUCUGAAGAAACCCUAAUUCACAUUGAAGGUGAAGUAGAGUUACAAUGGCGAUUCCUCUACUGAAAAAGAAAGUUAUCAAGGGAAGGGUGAAGCAAUUCAAGAGGCAUCAGAGUGAUAGGAGAAUCACUGUUAAGAAUGUGAUUUGUUUCACUUGCCUUGGCCCAAGUCAUGUGUGCGAGGUUUACUAAGUGGAAAUAAUUUUCAUUUAUCGGACAACUGACAAACUGGCGCAGACCAAAGGGUAUUGACUCCAGAGUUAGAAGGAAGUUCAAGGGAUGUGUCUUAAUGCCCAAUAUUGGCUAUGGUUGUGACAAGAAGACUCAGCCACUAUCUUCCCAAUGGCUUUAAGAUGUUUGUUGUGCACAAUGCAAGUGAACUUGAUAUUUUGUUGAUGCGCAACAUGUAAUGCAAGAGAGCAAAAUUUGUUUGCUUAUUCCAUCUUUGCUUCGCUUCGUGACAUCACCAUUAGCUUAUCAGGACUUACUGUGCUGAGAUUGCACAUAAUGUAUCCACAAGGAAAAGGAAAGAAAUAGUUGAGAGAGCGUCCCAGCUUGAUGUCGUAGUAACUAAUAAGCUUGCUAGGUUGCGUAGCCGUAGUAGAUCUCAGUUUUGACACCUAACAUUUUAUUAGGUGUUGUCAUACUCAUGUUUUCCCAUAUCUUAUUUCAAAAAUGGGAUAGAGAUGUAUAGGGUAUGCAAUUGUUUUACCCUAUAUACUAUGUAAAUAAAAUGAGUAGCAAUGUAAUUCUUGAUGUACAAUUGGGAUGAAUAUAAUUUUCUUCACUUGCUUGUAAGAACUUCUAAAUGAGAACUUUAUGACGAUGCUAAAA